GGGUGCGAUCAUACCAGUGUUAAUGCACCAGAUCCCAUCGGAACUCCGUAGUUAAGUGCACUUGGGAUAGAGUAGUAUUGGGAUGGGUGACCUCCCUGGAAGUCUUAGUGCUGCACCCU
rnacentral:rRNA from 1 species